rnacentral:rRNA from 1 species
GACGAACGCUGGCGGCGUGCUUAACACAUGCAAGUCGAACGGAAAGGCCCUGCUUUUGUGGGGUGCUCGAGUGGCGAACGGGUGAGUAACACGUGAGUAACCUGCCCUUGACUUUGGGAUAACUUCAGGAAACUGGGGCUAAUACCGGAUAGGAGCUCCUGCUGCAUGGUGGGGGUUGGAAAGUUUCGGCGGUGGGGGAUGGACUGGCGGGUUAUCAGCUUGUUGGUGGGGUAGGUGCUUACCAAGGCUUUGACGGGUAGCCGGCCUGAGAGCGUGACCGGCCACAUGGGUACUGCGAUACGGCGCAGACUCCUACGGGAGGCAGCAGUCGGGAAUAUUGCACAAUGGGCGGAAGCCUGAUGCAGCAACGCCGCGUGCGUGAUGACGGCUUUCGGGUUGUAAACCGCUUUCGCCUGUGCCGAAGCGUGAGUGACGGUACUGGGUAAAGAAGCACCGGCUAACUACGUG